GUAGGUGAACCUGCGGAAGGAUCAUUAUUGAAAUAAACCUGAUGGGUUGUUGCUGGUUCUCUAGGGAGCAUGUGCACGCCUUGUCAUCUUUAUAUCUCCACCUGUGCACCUUUUGUAGGCCUUUCAGGUCUAUGUUGCUUUUUCAUUUACCCCCAAUGUAUGUUAAUAGAAUGUUGUGCAUAUAAAAAAUCUAUACAACUUUCAGCAACGGAUCUCUUGGCUCUC
rnacentral:misc_RNA from 1 species